GACGGAGGAUGCAAGUGUUAUCCGGAAUCACUGGGCGUAAAGCGUCUGUAGGUGGUCAAAUAAGUCAACUGUUAAAUCUUGAGGCUCAACCUCAAAAUCGCAGUCGAAACUAUUCGAGCUAGAGUAUAGUAGGGGUAAAGGGAAUUUCCAGUUGGAGCGGUGAAAUGACGUAGAGAUUGGAAAGAACACCGAUGGCGAAGGCACUUUACUGGGCUAUUACUAACACUCAGAGACGAAAGCUAGGGUAGCAAAUGGG
rnacentral:rRNA from 1 species